rnacentral:rRNA from 1 species
GAUGAACGCUGACAGAAUGCUUAACACAUGCAAGUCUUUGGCGAAGCUGUGCUUGCACAGCCUAGCCAAGGCGGACGGGUGAGUAACGCGUAAGGAACUUGCCCUGCAGUCAGGGAUAACAGACGGAAACGACUGAUAAGACCUGGUAAAGUCAGGCGGACUCAUGUCCAGCCUGAUGAAAAGAGAUGCUGCAGGAGAGCCUUGCGUCCUAUUAGCUUGUUGGUGGGGUAACGGCGCACCAAGGCGAUGAUAGGUAGCCGGCCUGAGAGGGUGGACGGCCACAAGGGGACUGAGAUACGGCCCUUACUCCUACGGGAGGCAGCAGUGGGGAAUAUUGGACAAUGGGGGCAACCCUGAUACAGCAAUUCUGUGUGCACGAUGAAGGUUUUCGGAUUGUAAAGUGCUUUCAGCAGGGAAGAAAAAAAUGACGGUACCUGCAGAAGAAGCGACGGCUAAAUACGUG